CCUACGGGUGGCAGCAGUGAGGAAUAUUGGUCAAUGGACGCAAGUCUGAACCAGCCAAGUAGCGUGCAGGAUGACGGCCCUCCGGGUUGUAAACUGCUUUUAGUUGGGAAUAACAUGUUCCACGUGUGGGAUUUUGUAUGUACCAUAUGAAUAAGGAUCGGCUAACUCCGUGCCAGCAGCCGCGGUAAUACGGAGGAUCCGAGCGUUAUCCGGAUUUAUUGGGUUUAAAGGGAGCGUAGGUGGAUUGUUAAGUCAGUUGUGAAAGUUUGCGGCUCAACCGUAAAAUUGCAGUUGAAACUGGCAGUCUUGAGUACAGUAGAGGUGGGCGGAAUUCGUGGUGUAGCGGUGAAAUGCUUAGAUAUCACGAAGAACUCCGAUUGCGAAGGCAGUUCACUGGACUGCAACUGACACUGAGGCUCGAAAGUGUGGGUAUCAAACAGGAUUAGAGACCCCAGUAGUC
rnacentral:rRNA from 1 species